CAGCCGCCGCGGUAAUACCGGCAGCUCAAGUGAUGGCCGCUAUUAUUGGGCCUAAAGCGUCCGUAGCCGGCUAGACAGGUCCGUCGGGAAAUCCACCCGCUCAACGGGUGGGCGUCCGGGGGAAACCANNUAGCUUGGGACCGAGCGACCUGAGGAGGGGUACGUCCGGGGUAGGAGUGAAAUCCCGUAAUCCCGGACGGACCAUCGGUGGCGAAAGCGCCUCAGGAGAGCGGAUCCGACGGUGAGGGACGAAAGCUAGGGUCUCGAACCGGAUUAGAUACCCGGGUAGUCCUAGCCGUAAACGAUGCUCGCUAGGUGUGGCGCUGGCUACGAGCCAGCGCUGUGCCGUAGGGAAGCCGUGAAGCGAGCCGCCUGGGAAGUACGUCCGCAAGGAUGAAACUUAAAGGAAUUGGCGGGGGAGCAC
rnacentral:rRNA from 1 species